rnacentral:lncRNA from 1 species
AGUGCUACGCGCCUGCGAGCUCGCGCACAUACACAUAUACAUACAUACACACAUACAUACAUAUGCACACACACGUACACGCAGAAUCACACACACUCUCCUGGGACAUCAAAGCAUCAGCUCUCUGGACCUGGGAGCUCCAAGAUAGUCUAUCCGCAUCUAGGUGAGAGGGCACCUCGCCUGGGGACAGAUUACAAAAGCGUCCCGCCAGAGGAAUGCUUCAGGUAGAGCUAGGGGUGGAUUGCAAGAAGAGUACCUUCUUUCAAUCGCUUUUGCUAAACACACACCCUCACACGCAAAAACACGCCCUCCAAGGUGGAGUGAAACGGGGUGCGGGGGUGGGGACGGCGGUGGAAGGAAGAAGACUUUUAUUACUCAAUCUGGAAAGUGCAAAUACACACAUGAACCUGUUAGCCGAUGGGCCCACUCUGCAUGGGUGGUGGACGACGACCCUGGCUCAGGAUUCUGCAGGAAACAAGUGAUGAUAGAGGUGUCAUUAGGAACUUUAUGGAUAUUUAUGCGCCUCCCUUUCAUUGCCAUUUGGAAACUCCUCACGCAGAAGUCAAGGAAACUCCAAUCCCACUUAAACUUCAUUGCGGAGAAACAGAGUUCUGAAAAAAAAGCAGCUACCAUGGACCUCUCUUUUAAACGCAAGUACACCCACACACAUUCGGAUACCAAGGAAGGAAGGAAAGAAAGAAAGGAAAGAAAAGGGAGGGGAGGAAGGAAGAGCAAAGUCCUCUCUAAAAGUCUCAAUUAUAUAUAUAGCCUCUGAUUGUCACCUCUCCUCCGUCCCACCAUUUUUCGUACUUGUAUUGGGUGGCAGGGACACUUUUCAAGAGUUCUGUGUUCGAUUGUUCACUCUGAGUACCUCUCCACCAUCCUCCAGUCGUUGCCCUCAUUGGGAGAGAUGCUUGCUACUCUGCUAGUACCACGCCUUGGUUCCGGUCUUUACUGUUGGCUGGUAGGUCGGGAGGCACCUCUAGCAUGAGACAGUGUCUGGAAGCCAGGAUUUCCCUCAUCUAUAUGCGCCGGUCCCCAGCUCCCUGGUCGCCAGGGUUUCUCUCCAGUUGAAUUCCGUGUUCCUUCAGGUUGAACAGUAGCUUCAGCGGUUUUUCACGCUCAGAAAUGAUGAGGCCCAAUUCCAAUCUUCCCUCCCGCCGGAAGUAAGAAGGGGAAUUCUGAGUUGCUUGUCGCCUGACAGCUUAAAAUAGCAACGAAAACAGCCAGCAUCUUUGCUUAAAAACCCAAGGUUCCCGCCAGUGUUUACCAUACUUCCUCUAGAGUUUAAGAAGUUAAGAACUUCCGAGAUCUUGAAUUUCCUCUUUGCAGCACAGCGAACGGGGUCGGGUAUAAAAAUGCUCCAAGGAGCAAGUAAUUACGAACGUUUAUUGACACUACAAGUGGCCCACAGGGAGCCUUUCGAGUUUAUUGAUGUCUAGGCAAAUCCAGCCUGCAUUAAUGCAUUUCUGUUAGAUUGACUUCUGUUAGACUCACUUUUCUUCUGGCAAAAACUGCCAGAAUAAAACAGCUUCUUAUUUAAGUUAAAAGGGAUCCGGGGCUGAGGGCAGGGGUCGGGUGGGAGAGGGAUGCAUGGUUAGGAUGCUAAAUUCUCAAGGAUAAACUUUGAUUUUUAAACAGUAGACAACUAUAUUUUAGAUUAUAGGUAAAACAUCACUCUCUGUCAGGGAUAGAGUAAUAUGCAUCGUUUCAUUAAACUCAUUAUUUCUUAAGCAAUGGUUAUGGGGCAGGCAAUGUGUGCGGAGAUGGGAACACAAAGAUGAAUAAAACUUAGCAUCUAGUCAGACACAAAUCCUACUCACUCAAAGGGGGCAUCUUUUAAAAAUAAUAAUUUACAGUAUGGCAACAUGAAUCAGAAACAUCAUUUAAAAUAUAUAUGGUAUCUGAGUAAGCUCCUGGGUUGAAGCAGAUGGGGUGUUUAAGCCUUUUGAAGCCCGGAAGAUGAGUUUCCGGGUGAAGGGGACACACAGACUCCUGUUUUCAAAGCUGACAAGGAAGUAAGCCAAGCAGAGGGAGGAUAGAACAUUGCAGGUGGAAAAAGGAGUAUGCGCAACUCCAGAGAGUAAUAAAACUCUGGUGCUUUGGGGCAACUUUGAAGUGGCUCAGUACUGUUAGAAGGGAAAGUGGUAAGGGAGAGUGCUGGUCCAAAAGUUUCGGUGUACUCAUAAUAUUCUAUGGCUCCAGAGUGUGGAACAGUCUUCUGUAAUGAGAAAGCCACAAGAAAAUCUUCAAGAGGAAAGUAAAGCAGAUUAUUAUCCACAAUGUUGGUGAGCCUCAUCCAAAUUGUUGAAUACCUGAAUGGAACAAAAUUUCCAACCUCUGUGAGCAUGAAGAAAUUUUCUAGCAGACUGCCUUUCAACUUCACCUGCACCAUCAGCUUUCCAGAGUCUCCAUCCUGUCAGCAUUUGGACUGGAACAAUGCCAUUGGCUGUCCUACGCCUCAAACCUCCUGGCCCGUGCUGCAAGAUUCUAACUCACUAGCCUUUGUAAUCAUGUGAGCCAAUUCCUUAAGAGAUAAGAAUCUCUUUCGAGAUAUUAAACAAGACAUUCAAUUGGUUCUUUUACUCUGGAGAACCUAAUACAGCUGUCAUGAAAAACUUGGAUAUUCAAAUUAGAUAAAAGUAUAUUUCAGAAAUGUACCAGGAUCACAUUGUUAGCUUGUCUCUAUGGCUUUAUCCUAAGUCCUUAAGUAUUCUCUGCUUAGACAGCAGGGUUUGCUUAGUGGAGAGAUUGUAUCUCUAACUGUAUUGCCAGGACAGGUUUUUGACUACAUACCACCUAUCUUUCUCAAGAAAGUGAUAAUAAAAGCAAUUUUUUUCAUAUUUGAAAUCCUAGAGUACAACAAUAGCAAAUGGAAAAUGAAGAAAGAGGGAAUUAAAAAUGAGUAAAAGUAUUAACAUUACUUGUUUUAGGAAAAAGUAACAAUAAGUAGAUAAACAAUGGCUAGAUAAGGAAAAAUUUUUAAAGUCACUGUUAAAACUUGAAUUUUCUUCUAAAAUUCUCCUGCUGAACACCUUUCUAGAUGGGUAAAAGAGUGAGAAUAUUAAAUAAAAUUCUAAACUUUUAAAAAUAUAACUGGUUUUAAUUAUCUGACAGGUAACAUACAAAAUUUAUAUGUAAGGACAUUUUUAACUAUAGCAGUUGUUCCCAACAUAUACUUCAAAAGUAGUGUUCGGCCGUCCUAAAACACUAGAAAACUUCUACAGGCCUUUGACCUCUUGUAGAUUAUGUGGAAAACAGUAAUCUAUCUAUUCUGUAUUUUUUUUCAGAAGUAUCCAAAUUUUUUCCUCAGGGAAAAAAAAUACAGGUAAUAAGUUUCUUGAUAAAAUGUUUCUCUUAAAAACUGCAUAGAUUACUUCUACUUUCAGGUAAGGUCUUACUUCUCUCCAUAAAUAAUUGAAAACUUAGAUAAAACAUGUUUUUAGAUACUAGACAACAGUAAAUACUGUGAGCUAAAGAAAUAAAAUAGGUAACUACCUACAAUCAUUCUGACUUUCUGGCCUACAGGAUAUUUAUAAAUCUUGGGGCAGGGAGAGCCAACCCACUAGCUCCCAAGAGCUGUAGCUAACAUUUUAUUUAUUAUUUUUUGAUUUGAGGAGAUGGUGUUUGUAGCAUAAAUCUGAGAUUGCUAGAAUAUUUUGGGACGGAUCACCAAUGAAGAAAGAGUUACUCAGAGAAACAGCUCCAGAAAUCUACAUAACGAAUCAACGAAGUCUUUAGUUGAAUGCCAAUCUGCAUGUUAAGGUGAAACUCCCUGAGGAUAGGCAAAGAAAAUUUCUGAGGAAAGAAUAAUUUCCAGGUACAUAUAAGUCAAAACAAUUUCCACAGGACAAACAGUGUCAUGACUCCUUCCAAGUGCUAGCAAACAAAGUGAAGUAACAUCAUUGAAUACAUGGGCAGUAGUAGAGACGCAAGAUAGGCCCAUGCUCUAGUAAUUGGGCUAAACUAGUCCCAUAAAAUAGAUUAUUCUGUACCAGGGAUCAGCAAAUUAAGGACCAAUCUGAACCACUACUUUCCAGUAACUAAAAUUUUAUUGCAAAAUGGCUUUUCACUUAUUUACAUAUUAUCUAUAGAGACUUCAGUGUUACAACAAUAGAGUGAUAGAAAUCAAACGGUCUGCAAAGCUUUAGAUAAAUACUGUGUGGCUCUUGACAGAAAAAAAAUCCCUUGCUGAUUCCUCCUCUAGACUUGCCCUAAUCAAAGGACUUUCAUGCAACUCAACAGCCUAUCAGAACAAAAUUCAACACUGAUAAAAGUCUGACAACAAAAUUCAGUAAUCAAAUAUUUAACAUUUUCAAUGUCUGUCAUCCAAUCCAGAAUUACCACACAUACAAAGAAGGAGGAUAAAAUACCUCUAUACCCAGGUAAAACAAAUCAAAAAAUAACAUAGAUGAUGACAAAAGUAGAAAACAUUUUUUAAAAUAGGUAUAAUUAUCAUGUGCAGCAUGUGCAAAUAUUUUUUAAAAUGAACAUAAUGAGGAGAGUCAUAGGGAUAUAAAAAAAGAACCAAAGGGAAAUUCUAAAGAUAAAAUUAUGAUACCAAAAAUUAAAAUUAUUCUGAUUGGUAGAUUAGGCCCUGAAAUAGAAAGUCAGUGAAAUUGAAAACAUGGCAACAAAAAUUAAAAUAUAAAAUAAAUAUAAAUAAAUGCACAAAGGUAAAAAACAAGAUAUUAAUGGCCUCAAUAUUAAUAUCAGAGACAAUAUCAAUUGCAACAAAAUACAUGGGGUGGAAUACUAAAAAGAAAGAGAAAGAGAAAAACAAUGUGAAGCAAUUCUUUUUUUUUUUUUUGAGACAGUCUCACUCCAUCGCCUAGGCUGGAGUGCAGUGGCGUAAUCUUGGCUCACUGCAACCUCUGCCUCCCGGGUUCAAGCAAUUCUCCUGCCUCAGUCUCCCAAGUAGCUGGGAUUACAGGCUACUACUACCAUGCUCAGCUAAUAUUUUUUUUUUGUAUUUUUAGUAGAGACAGGGUUUCGCCAUGUUGGCUAGGGUGGUUUUGAACUCCUAACCUCAGGUGAUCCACCCGCCUCGGGAUUACAGGCGUGAGCCACCGUGCCCGGCCCAUAUUUUAAAAAUAUCUAUAUUUUAUACCAAGUCAUCAGACAUUUGAGAACAUAUCCUAUUGAAGUAAAACACAGUAAGGAUGUAUUUAAAGAAUGAGUAUUGAAGAAAUACUCACAGAAUUGAAAAAUCAGAGAAUGUUAAAUAAUUAUAAUAUAUUCAUAUUAAAAAAUAAUAUUCAGUCUUAAAGCAAAUAGUUAAAGCAACUAAACCAGUUGUAAUAGGCAGAUUUCCAAAAAACGGUUAUGUAAGAAAACAAGAUACAAACAUUGUAAUAUCAUUUCAUGUUUUCAAUAUAAAUUAUUUAAAAAUUUCAUAUAUGUAUAUGUAUGUUUACCAAACUAUGUGAGUACUGAGAAAAAUAUGAAAGAAUGCAUGCUUGAUUGUCAUAUCCCAUGGGUGUGUAAUGGGAGUAGUGAAGAAGAUAAAUGGGGUAGUAUAAAAAAUAUAAAACCAUAAUACACUAAAAUGUAAUAUGAAUGUUAUACUUUACAUUUGUUUAAAAUUACAUAUGUGAUUUGUACAACUAAAGUGGUAUAAAAAUUAGAAGCAAAGUUAAAUGAGAAGGAAUUGAUUAAAUGUACAUACAUAUACCCACAGAACGGUAUCAAUACAUGGGUACACAUACACACACAUAUAUAUAUAAUGUUUAUGUUCACUAAAUAAUUAUGUGUCACUUAACGAUGGAUAUACAUUCUGAGAAAUGUGUUGUCAGGCAAUUUUGUCCUUGUGCAAAUAUCAUAGAGUGUAUUUACACAAACCUAGUUCACACUUUGGCUAUCUGGUAUAGACUAUUGCUUCCAGGCUACAAACCUGUACAACAUGCUACUGUUCCAAAUAUUGUAGGCAAUUGUAACUGGAUGUUAAGUAUUUGUGGAUCUUAAUGUAUCUAAACAUAGAAAAGGCACAUACAAAAAUACAGUAUUAUAAUCUUAUGAGACCAUGGUCAUCCAUGUGGUCCAUCAUUGACUGAAGAAUCGUUAGCAUGUCAUGACUGUACAUAUACAGCAUUCAUAUAUUUAAAUACAUGCAUAUAUAUUAUAUAUAUAUGGGGCAUACACAUAAGUAAUAUAUAUUUUCAUACACCUUGCAAUUUUACUGCUUGGAUUUAUUUUCUUAGAAAACAAAAUAAAUAAGAUAGUAUAGAUUUAAAAAUCUAUGGAUAAAAUAAUUCAAAGCAAUAGUACUUUUGUAGUGAAUAACAUAAUAUAGUAUAAAUGUACAAAUACAGUGAUGCAUUACAGAUAUUUUGCGUAUUUUACAGCAUGCAAGUUAUCUCUUUAAAAGAGCUUUAGAAAUGAAUUCAGUAAGUGAAAGAACAAAAUAUUUUUAUAUCAAAUUAUUUUGCCAAAUUUAUACGUUACUACCGCUAGUAACGUAUGAGAUCAUUCAUCUCACCAUUGCAAACAUUGUCAUUAUAAUUCAAAAAAUUGUAUUUACUAUUUGGUUGACUUAAUUUACAUUUUUAAGAAUAGUAUAAAAUGGCUAAAGUGAUGGCAUUUUAAUUAUUUGAUUCAUCUUUUUUGGCUCCACUUAACAAUUGAGGUUCUAUUAAUUAUUUUAUGGAUUUAUGUGGGCUUUUCUAUCAAGCUACGUUCUGAAAUAGUUGCUCAUAAUUUAGUACUGCUUUCUUUUUCUCUUAAUUUUAGUUAAAGCUUCUGACAUACAGUAGUUGUAAAUUAUAUAUUAAAUCUAUUGGUUUUUUCCAUUAUGAUUUUUUUCCUUAUUGUAAUAAAGCUUAAAAUGAAUAUCCUUCCUCUUGAACAAGUUUCCUAUCUAGCUUGUAUUAAAUUAAUCUCAGUGGAACUUAAGGAUCCAUAGCAAAUGGAGGAUUCCUGAAAUCCAACUGAAUAUCAAGUAUUUUCUGAAGACAUCAUAAGUAAUAGUUUGUGUACUUUUAAUUGUGUGAAAUAUUUUAAGCUUAAUAAGCCAUAUAUGUAUUUAAAACUAAUAAAUUUAUAGAUAGCAUAUGCAACAUUGAAUUGAUCUAACAGAUACCAAAAGAAGUACACCUAUAAUGCAGGCAGUUGAAAUUUAUUUUGACACAGGAACUUCUUUAUUUUUAUUUUUUAUUUUUUUGAGAUUGAGUCUCACCCUGUCGCCCAGGUUGGAGUGCAGUGGCACCAUCUCUGCUCACUGCAACCUCUGCCUCUCCGGUUCAGGUGAUUCUCGUGGCUCAGCCUCCCAAGUAGCUGGGAUUACAGGCGUGCACCACCAUGCCCGGCUAAUUUUUGUAUUUUUAGUAGUUUUGAACUCCUGACCUGAGGUGAUCUGCCCACCUCGGCCUCCCAAAGUGUUGGGAUUACGGGCAUAAGCCACGGCUCCCAGCCAAGGAACUUAUUAUACUAAGUGUGGAGAACCCUGCUAUAGAAGUCUGUCAAAUAUUUACUGCCCCCACCCUUUUCUUAGUAUUUCUGUAAUUCAAAUAACUUUUCAUAUUUCAUAUUUAGUUUUUCAUAUUUAUUAUUGUAAUCUAUUGGGAAGUUAUUUUUACAUAGAAAGUUGGUUAGGAAUACGAUUUAUCUUGUCAGGUUUUAUAGUUUUUCUAAAAGUUUACCUACGUGUUUUCUUUUUUCUUUUUUCUUUUUUUUUACUUUUUUUUCUUAUUUUGAGAUGGAGUCUCACACUUGUUGCCCAGGCUGCAGUGCAGUGGCGCGAUCGUGGCUCACUGUAACCUCCACCUCCCGGUUUCAAGCGAUUCUUCUGCCUCAGUCUCCCGAGUAGUUGGGAUUAUAGGUGCCAGCCACCACACCUGAAUUUUUUGUAUUUUUAAUAGAUACUGGGUUUCAUCAUGUUGACCAGGCUGGUCUGGAACUCCUGACCUCAGGUGUUCUGCCCGCCUCGGCCUCCCAAAGUGCUGAGAUUACAGGCGUGUUUUCAUAAGUUUCUUUUCUCUAUAAAUAUCAUAUUGUAUUACUAAAGUGGAGUCAUUUUUGUUUCAUUAUUACUUAAUAGCUUUAACUGUGGUAAUGAAUUUCAGUGCUUUCCUUUCAUACUUUAUGAUUUUUGCACCUUCAGCUUGAAAUCAGGUACUAUUAAACUCCAGUAAUUUUUAUUUUUAUAACACAUUGCAAUUUUUGUUAUUUUCUUUUCCAAUAAUUCUACAUUUUUGUUCAUUGUAGCAACAUUAGAAAUAUACUUUUAUUAUUUAUUUAUUUAAUUAAUUAUUAUUAUUAUUUUUUGAGACAGAGCCUCUCUCUGUCACCCAGGCUGGAGUGCAAUGGCACAGUCUCAGCUCACUGCAACCUCCACCUCCUAGGUUCAAGUGAUUCUCCUGCCUUAGCCUCCUGAGUAGCUAGGAAUACAGGUGCAUGCCACCAUACUCGGCUAAUUUUUGUAUUUUUAGUAGAGACGGGGUUUCACUAUGUUGGCCAUGCUGGUCUUGAACUCCUGAACUCGUGAUCAGCCUGCUUUGGCCUCCCGAAAUGCUGGGAUUACAGGCGUGAGCCUCCACACUGGCCUCACAUGCUUUUAGUUAUAGUGUUUUGUUUUUGCUUUUUAGUAAUUGAAGUAAUUGUUGUUUUCAAAUUCCUUCUUCUGGUUUAUCAAUUUCCUUAUAUUUUUCUUAAUGUUUUUACUGAGAAAUGCUAACAAAUUUUAUCAUGCAAUCAUGUAUAUUUUUAUUAUAUUCAGUAAUAUACUAAUGCUUUAUUAUGUUAAUUAGCUAUAAAAAUAUAUUUAAAAGUCCUGCUUUGUCAUGUUGGCUACAGAAUAACACUAAUCACUAAUAUGUCAUUUCAAAUAUAUAAAUAUCAAAGUAUAUAUGUGUGUGUUUUAUACACCAUAUAUUACAUUAUAUUAAAUACAUAUAUGCCUUAUUUAUAUAUAUAUAUAAUGUAUGCUGAAUUUUCUUUCUCUUUCUUCCCUUCUUCUUUCUUUCUCUCUCACUUUAUUUCUUGCUUGCUUUUCUGUUUUUGUUUAAUCUGUUUUUUGGUGACCCAGACAGCAUCCAUUUUCUCUUCCUAAGAACAUUCUAUUUUUUGGGGGGAGGGAUCUAUCACUUCCCCUUAUUGUUGAUAAAUUGAUAGAAUGAUAAAUCAAGUUACCUUGACCACUCUUAUAUAGCCAAUGACUCACUCUAGGUCAAUAAUACUAUCCCAGGACUUUGCAUCUUGACUGAACAUUUGUUCACUCUUCUUGAGUAAAAAAACUCCAAAACUCGGUGAAAACAAGCCAAAAAUAUAUUAAUUAUUGCUCACAUAUCUAUGAGUUGGUUUGGUUUCUGACCUUCCAGGCAGGACUGUCACGAAUUAUUCUUGUCAUUAUACAUCUGAGAUGACAAAAAGACUAGCUGAGAUGAUAAGUUCUGUGUUUCACUGAUCAUCGUUGGAUGAGUGAGCUUAACAAGAGACGUUACUCUCAUAGCAACACCAAAGAUGAUAAAGAGCAUUUGGCUAACUGACACUUUUCUCCAUGUACUAUUUGCCAAAACAAGUCACAUAACUAAGCCAAAAGAGAUGGAGGAAUUCAUUUCCCUCAUGGAGAUGAGAAGACUUGCAAAGUUAAAUAACAAGAGUAGAUACAGAAGAAGGAGAAGUAUUAGAGUCAGUAAUGAAAUCUACCAGGCAUUGAGAGCCACAAAGGCAAAAUGUAUGUGUAAAAUAUUCACUUUAUUAGCACCUAAGAAAGAGAGAGUUGAGCAAGCUAUAUCUGUUUCCUAAGAGCCCAGUAAUUGCUGGUAUACAUGUUGUUUCUUAUGCUAGUUCCUAGUCUCUGUGUAAAUUUGAACUAAACAAUAUAUAAAAGAUUCCCCUCUUCUUAAUUUUGUGGAAAUUGGUAUUGCUUACUUCCAAAUAAAGAAUCCUAAGUGGUUAAGAAUAAAACAAAAUUUGAAGAAGGUAGAAUAUAUAAAGAGGCUGACAAAUUCUUUGUGAUCUUGGCUUAAAGAACAAUACAUCUCACUGUGGCCUUUGCUACUUUAUUACUUUUCUUCCUAAGAGCCUUAGGAAUUUCUAAAUCCAGUUUUCCAGCUUAAUCUUUACAGUGGACAGAAAACUUCUCUUUAUACUAACUCCCAUUUGAGAAUCCUGUACUUUUCCUCAAAUAUAGAGAACUUCACUUCUCUCCUUGCCAUGGCCAGCUUAUUUUUCACUUAUUGGCUUCCACAAAGUUGGCCGUGACCUGUGCUCUCCACAACAAAAAUCACAUAAACUGAUGGCAAUGCAGAAUUCAAGUAAACAUAUUUAGCUAGUGAUGAUGCUUGAUCCAGUAGUAGCUGCACUGUUAGUUCUCUCAACUUCUAUUACUUUUGCUUGCUAUUUCUCUUAGUUUCCUUUGUUUUCCCUUCAUAGUACAUUCUAUUGUAUUACACAAUAUAAAUAUGUCAUUUUAUUAUUAUCAUCAUAUUACACAAUACAAAGAUUCUACAGCAAUGCUGUCCAAUUGAAAUAUACUGUGAAUGAUAAGUAUAAGACAUAUAUGUAGUUUUAAAUUUUAAUACCCAUAGUGAAAUAAAAAGAUAAAAUGAAAUUUAGUAGUAUAUUUAAUUCCAAAUAUUCAAAAUAUAACCAUCUAAAAAUACAAUCAAUAUUAAAUUGUUAAUAUGAGUUUUUUCUUUUUUUUGGUAUAAAGUGUUCAAUAUCCAAUGUGCAUUUUAUACUUACUGCAAGCAUGUCUCCAUUUGGACUCACUAUAUUUGAAGCGGUCAAUAGCCACACAUGGCUAGAGACUACAAUAUUCAACAAUGUAAGUCCAUAAAGUUUCUUAGGGCUGAGUUAUGUAUGUCUAAUUUAUUUGCAAAUUUCAUAAGGGCAGAGGUCUUUUCUAUACUGUUUACCACAAUACACAUAGAACCAAUCAGAAGGUUUAGUCUAAAAUAAUAGGCAUUUAAGAAUUUUGUAUCAAAAACUCAUUUAGUAUAAUGUUAUCUAUUUUUUCUAGAGUGAAAUACAUAGUUCCAUCUUUUAAAUUUCUACCUUAUAAGCACUAUUAUCUACCAUAAAAUUAUCUGUUCAUUUGUCUUGAAAUUCUUUAUUAAACACUUAGAUACAAGUUUUUCUUUAUUUAAAUUCUCUCAAUAAUUUUCCAUUUUUCCCAAUGCUACGUGAGUCAAUCGUCAAGGAAAAAUAUCCUGUUCAUUAAGAGUUUAAAUGUUUUAGUAUAAAAUGAUGACCUGUUUUAUGAUCAAACAAUAGUUAUUUACCAAAGGUUACACAUUCCCAGCUGUGUAUUAUUAUGAAACUUUAGGUUAUGUCAAUCAUCAAUAGAGUUUCUUCAUUUGAUACCCUUAACAUAAUUUUUUCCAGAUAUAGAUACAUUAUGUUCAUAUGUUAUCUUUAGAUUUCUGGAUUUUUGUGAUAUCUGUUCUCAUUUAUAUGGUCAUGAACGAUUUUAAUAGAAGGUGAAAUAGAAUAAGAUACUCUUAGUAAUCUGCCUCAUAAGUGAGAAAUUCACUAUAUUUUUUUGACAUUUAUUAGAAUCAUUAUUUUUAAAUUCCAUGGCUAUAGUGCUAUACUUAUCCUACUGAGAACUGCUCUCAAUUUAAUUAAUAAGGACUUGUCUGUUGAAUACAUCAUUCCUUUUAGUAUUCCUCCCAUCUUCUCAGGGUAUACUGGAAGGAAAAUUUGUGUGCUUUUGCUGAAUAUUAUUAUAGUUAUACCUUUGGAUAGUUUAAUACACUGACAUGAUUAGUUGUACUGAGUUUAUAUUUUAAUAUAACACUCAAAUUUUUUACUGGAUUAUGCGAGUCAGGUACUCUUACCUGAACAUUUUAGCCACUUAUAUAUAAACCUCUACCAUAGUUUUACAAUGCUAGGCUGUCUUUAAAAAGUCCAUGGCAUUUAUCAGGAAUAAGACAUUUUAAAAAUCAAUUUCUAGCAGUUUGAGCUAUGAGAAUGCAAAUUAUAACAUUGUACUACAGUUCUGGGAUGUACUAAAAAAUUAAGAAGAGGCAUAACAAUAAUUACGCCAGGUGGUGUGUUUUAUUUGUAAUGACAAAGCUUAUUUCUACACAAAAUGCCUCUAGUAUAAAAGAAUGUCAAGAAUUACUAUCUAACGCAUUGCUGAUUUCUUUAAUUACUCUCAUUAAUGUGCCUUUAAUAGCUACCCAGAAUUAAAUAUUUAAAAUAUAUUGUGCAUUUUUUAUUAAAGGAGAUAUUUAAAUAAAGCAAAAUAAAUUUCAUAUCUAUAAUCUUCAGUUAUAGGAAUGAAGAUAGAAGCAGUGUAUAUUUAUCUUAGGGAAGUUGUUAGUAAUUACUAAAUUUCUUUAACAAAGCAAAAUUGGAUUCACCAAAAUAUAAACAAUAUAAAUAAUCAUAUGUUUAAGUGGUUCAACAUUUUAAAGUGUUAAUUACCUUCUAAGAUAUAUUCUGCCUCAAAGCCUCCAUACAUGCUGAGAAACAUACUGAGGAAUUAUAAACAUCUUGUGUAAAACAUGUUGUCAUAUAUUCUCCAACAACUGUGUUUCAGUAAAAUCUGCCCAAGGCUUAACAAAAAAGUGUUUAAAGUAUUAUCUGUCUACAUCAAGAGCAGCAUUUUGUCAGUUAAAUAAAUUAUGAUAACUUUGUGAAAUACAGUAAUUAAGGUGCUUCUAUGUAAUAGAAUAAUGUGUAACUGGUAGAAUAUUACUUUACAAGAAUGUUUAAGGUUAUUAAAAUGUUCAGAUAUGUUAAACAAAGUGCACUUGUUGAAUAAUAUACAGCUUAUGAUGAAAAUUUUGUGAGUGAAUGAUGAAAAUUUUGUUGGGUAUAUAUGUAAAUAUUUAAUGUGUGUAGAAAAUGAGAGAGAGACAAAGAUGGUAAGAGCAGGUAAGUACUUUAAAAGAAUUAUAACCCAAAGAAUUAUAAUAAUCAUCAUCUGGGUAGUAGAAUUAGGUGUUCUUAAUUUUCUUCUUACACUUUCAAAAGCAUUUUACAGUGUCAUUAUGAAUAUAUAUGACUAUUUUAAUAAAAAUAAUUGCACAAAGUAUGUAUUAAUGAUUAUAAAUAGAAUAUAUUAUUUAGUAUAUACUAUACUUAUAAUUACUUCCUUCAACAGAACUACUUUGUUUUACUAUGAUCAGACACUAAUAUUAACCAAAUUAUAUCUUCUAGAUUCAUCUGCUCCAUUUAUACCCUCUUUUAAAUUUACCUCCAAGAAAGCAAUUCUGUUCUUUCUUGCACCUCUAAUUUCUUUCCACUGUAUCCUUUCUUUUUAAUUCCAUAAAUGAGUAUGAAGUUUGUCAUGGAUGUUCUGUGUGGCCCUAGGACAAAAUCUAUCAGAAACUGUAUUGCAUGAAGAUGGCUGGCAGCUGAGUCCUUUAGAAAUGCCUUUUGCUGAAGGGAGUUGGGCCAUCAAAGAUGUAAUGAUACAUCCCUGGGAGAGGUCAGGGUCCAAUGACGGUUUAAUGUGAGGUUUGAGAUGCCCAGCCCCCUUGCAUGAUUCAGAACUUCUCUGUAGGGCCGUCUCCAUUUCAUAAGCCCUGUGUGAUUGGCUGAAGUUUCUGUUCCUACUGUAACCAAUUCCUCCCUUCUCCUUUUCCAAUUCAGCUUCUUGUGUUUCCUCAUAGAUACUGCGACUGAAAACGACCCAAUGCCUUUCCUGCAUAAAAAUGUCUGUCUCUUAGUCUACUUUGCAGGCAAAAUGACAAAGGGAUUAUUCAAAGGUACAUCCAGCUAGUGUUGCAAGGAAAUGUUUAUUGGGAUUACACACAAAAAUGUGAAGGUUCUGUAUAAGAAGGGGAGCCCAUUUUCAGUUCAAACCUUAAAUAAACUAAAUGAAUUUUUUUUUUUUUUUUUUUUUUUGCUCUCACGCUUAACACGGCAAAAUAAUUAAAGAAGAUAGGAAAUAUCAGUACAGAAAACCGUAGUCUAAGCAGACAGACAUAGGCUUUUUUUGUGGAAAACAAGUGAAACUGUCAGUCAGCAGUUACAGAAAAUAUUGCAGAACAUCUCAGAGGGAAGCAAUGUCCCUCUGGACAUCAAUUGUGGUAGAUUUACUUAAAGUAAAUUGUAUAAUUUUUCAUGACUUCAAAGGCUAAGUAUUUAGUGGUAAUGGCUCUUAAAACUGUCAUCAGAAGGAAGAGGAUCAGCAGAGUUGGGACAAUCUAGUCAAAUUCAAUUAAAUAUUGAAUACUAAAUUCUUCCUAUAUUUUCUAGCUUUGUUCUAGAUGUUACUUGGGAGGCUGAGGCAGGAGAAUCGCUUGAAUCUGGGAGGCUGAGGUUGCAGUGAGCCAAGAUCCUGCCACUGAACUCCAGCCUGGGUCACAGAGUGAGACUCCAUCUCAAAAAAAAAAAACCAGAAAGCAAAACAACAACAACAACAACAACAACAACAACAACAAAAAACUUAAGCUUUAGAAAAUGUUGUAAUAGAGAUUUUAUGGAGGGUAAUAUGGUUAACAUUUCUCUACUUCCUUAGUGAUGGAGAAUCAAGAGUUUCUUACCUACCUAUUCUCUAUCUACCUCUCAGUUUUGAAUCCUUCACUUGUUUACUCUGCAUCAUAUCUAGCACUCUGCCAGUCUGUUUUAUAUCCCUACCCCUCUUGAACCUUGAUAGCUAAACUUAAGCAUCAUGUAGUCUACAACUAAUCCAGACUUAUUCUCUCUGUGAAAUAGGUUCUAGCAUCUAUCACCAUUUCAGUAAAGGGCAAAUGAAAGAAUUGUAAACACACCCUCACAUUCUAAGUCUUCCAUCCACUGAGCAACAGGAAUUUCUUAAUUUAUACUCCAUAUGGUGGCCAAGGACUGAUUUAUUAUUAUGUGAGUAAUUCACACCAGGUAUUCAUGACCAGGUAAAUCUACACUCCUCAUAAUUCUGUGGUUUCCCUGUUGUUUGAAAUAGUCUGUAAAGUUGUUUAUUCUUCCCUGUGUCCUUCGUUUUGUGCUUUUUUUUAUUCAAUUACUUAUUACUUAUCUAUCCUAUUUUUCUUUCCCCUCCCACCCCAAACUCUGACAACUACUGACCUGUUCAUCAUUCCUGCAGUUUCUCCUUUUCUAGAAUGUCAAAUAAAUACAAUCUUAAAAUAUGUAACCUUUGAGACUGGCUUCUGUUACAGCACAAUGCAUUUGCAAUUCAUCUAUGUUGUUGUGUGUGUCAGUAGUUGAUUACAUUUUAUUGUUCAGUAAUACUCCCUUGUUUGUAUAGGCUAAGUUUGUCUAUUCCAUCACCUAUGCAUUUGAAUUAAUGCCAGUUUGAGUUAUCCUGGCAUAAACAUUCUUAUAUAGAUUUUGGGGUGAAAGUAACUUUUCAUUUCUCUAAAAUAAACAUGUAGAAAUGGGAUUGUUGAGUCAGAUGGUAAUUACAUGUUUAACUUUUUAAGAAACAGACUGCCUUAGAUUCUUUAGUGUUGCUGUAAUAGCAUAUCAUAGACUGGGUAAUUUUAAAGAGGGUAAAUUUAUUUCUUAUAGUACUGGAGACUGGAAAGUCCAAGAUCAAAUGGCACACAUCUGGAUAAGGCCUUCUUACUGCACCAUUUCAUGGAUGGGAGCAGAAAGGCAAGAAAACAUAGAAGUGGGGUCACUUUUUUGUCUGGUAGCUUUACUUUUAAAUUUUUGAAGAACCUCCAUCUGUUUGUAUUAGUUCAUUUUGUGUUGCUGUAAAGGAAUACCUGAGGCUAGGAAAUGUAUAAAGAAAAGAAUUUUAUUUGGCUCAUAGUUCUGCAUGUGCUGUACAAUCAUGGCACCAGUAUCUGCUUGGCUUCUGGUGAGGCCUCAGGAAGCUUUUACUCAUAGCAGAAGGGAAGGGAUCCAGCAUGUCACAUGGUGAAGAAGGGAGCAAGCAAGAGAGAGAAAGUGCCAAGCUCUUUUAAACAACCAGCUCUCGCACGAGCUAACAGAGUAAGGACUUACUUAUUCCUGUGAAGACAACACCAAGUCAUUCGUGAAGGAUCCAUGUCUAUGACCCAAACAUCUCGCAUUAGGCCUACCUGCAACAUUGGAGGUCACAUUUCAACAGAAUAUCAGUGUUUUCACAAUGCCUAUAUUACUGCUGAGUUUUAGGAGUUCUUUCUGUAUAUCUUUCUGGAUACAAGUUUUUCAUUGAUGUUAUGCUUGAUAAAGCAAACAAGGUCUGAGGGCAAAGACUAGAGUAAAUACCUAAUGCCUUGAUGCACAGACAUUGAUGAAUGUUCACAAGCAUCAAGAAUAUGAAAGGCAUUAUGACUUCAUGAAACAAACUAAAUAAGGUGCCAGUGACUAACUUUAAAUAGAGGGAUAUGUGUGACCUCUCAGACAGAUAAUUCAAAAUUACUGCUUUGAGGAACUCAACCGACUUUAGGAAAAUACAGAGAAGGAAUUCAAAAUUUUAUCAGAGAAACUUGACAAAGAGGUUGAAAAAAAUCAAAUGGAAGUCCUGGAGCUGAAGAUGCAUUUGAGGUUCUCAACAGCAAAAUUGAUCAAGCAGAAGAAAAAACAUCAGUGAGCUCAAAGACAGCUAUUUAGAAAUAUCAAAAAGUCAGAGAAAAAAAAAAGAAUGAAAUUCUAUGGCCAGGUGCAGUGGCUCAUGCCUGUAAUCCCAGCACUUUGGGAGACUGAGAGCGGAGGAUCACUUGAGCUCAGGAGUUCAAGAACAACUGGGGCAACGUGGCAAAAACCCAUCUCUACAAAAAAUACAAAAGGUAGCCAGACAUGGAGAUGCACACCUGUAGUCACAGCUACUCAGGAGGCUUAGGCAGGAGAAUCACUUGGGCUUGGAAGAUCAAGGCCACAGUGAGUUAUGAUCGAGCCACUGCACUCCAGCAUGGGUAACUAAGCAAAUAUCCUGUCUCACAACAACAACAACAACAAAGGAAUGGAAUCCUGUCAUUCACAAUGUGGAUGGAACUGGAGGACAUUAAGUGAAAUAAACUAUGAACAGAAAGUUAAACACCACAUGUGAUAUGGUUUGGCUCUGUGUCACCACCCAAAUUUCAUCUCGAACUGUAAUCCCCACAUGUUGAGGGAGGGACCUGGUGGGAAGUGAUUGGAUCAUAGGGGUGGUUUCACUCAUGCUGUUCUUGUGAUAGUGAGUUCUCAUGAGUUCUGAUGAUUUAAAAGUGUUUGGCAGUUCCUCUCCUCUCUCUUGCCUGCUGCCAUGUAAGAUGUGCCUUGCUUCCCUUUUGCCUCCUGCCAUGAUUGUAAGUUUCCUGAGGUCUCCCCAGCCAUGU